rnacentral:rRNA from 1 species
UACGUAGGCAGCGAGCGUUGUUCGGAGUUACUGGGCGUAAAGAGUGCGUAGGCGGUUUUCUAAGUUUGGUGUGAAAUCUCCCGGCUCAACUGGGAGGGUGCGCCGAAUACUGAAUGACUAGAGUGCGGGAGAGGUGAGUGGAAUUCCUGGUGUAGCGGUGAAAUGCGUAGAUAUCAGGAGGAACACCGGUGGUGUAGACGGCUCACUGGACCGUAACUGACGCUGAGACACGAAAGCGUGGGUAGCAAACAGG